CACCGUCCGCCAACAUCUUCCCU
rnacentral:siRNA from 1 species